CCCCCCUCACCCAACAGAAACGUAAACAGGAGCAAAGAAACAAACAGCCGAAAAUUAAUUUUAUCUUCAUCUUCUUCUCCUUCAUCUUAACAGAUUCAAUCUUUCUCUAUAAACCACCAAAAACACAGACCCAUGGCAACAUCCCACUAGAUCCAUCAUUAUCACAAUCAAACAUCCUGAUUUACCCCCUCUCUUUAUAUACGGGUUGGGUUUUGCACUCUUUUCUUCAAUAAUUCAGGUUCGUUCUUCUUCCAGAUUCGUGAUAUGCUGGAGAAUGAGGAGAAGAAUGAAAAUGCUGCCUUUGUUUCUUUCUGUGGGGAUAUUGACUUAACAACCUUCAGUGAGAAUCCAAAUUUGAAAGACACAUGGGCUCGUCAGGUUCGUGAUAUGCUGUAGAAUGAGGAGAAGAAUGAAAAUGCUGAAUUCCGAGUGAAGGAGGUUGAGUACAUUCAAGCAGAGGUGAAGAUAAUAAAGUGUCUAGUGGAAAACGUUGUGGUAGAUAUUUCAUUUAACCAACUUGGUGGACUGUUCACCCUUUGUUUCCUUGAAAAGGUUAGUGCUUUAUCCUAGAAAUUGUCUACUCCUUUUGUCCAAAUAUUAUGAUCCUUUUUCCGGACACUUCUGCUUUCCCAAAUUAUUAGUCUGUUAUUAGAAAAUCACUAAUCCUGCCAUGCCCUAUUCAUUAAGCAACCUAAAUCAAAACCAUCUUCUGGACUUAGCAAAUUAUUUCUUGAGGCUUGUAGUGCAAUAUAUGCUGUUUUACCUGUUGGACAAGAUAAUCAAAGGCAACCCUUUUUAUCCAAACACUUCAAUGUUAUUGAUCCUUUGCGUAUAAACAACAACCUGGGACACAGUGUCAGUAAAGGUAUACAAAUAGAACUCUACUAUGCUGUUUGCCAUCAAGUUAAAUGUCAUUUGAAUACCUCUGCUUUUUAACGUUCCAAAUUUUAUCAAGCAAGGAAUACAAGCCGGCAACUAUUGUAUUCCUAUUUCUCCUAGAAUUAACUGGUGUUUGUUUCCAGUAGAGUAUUGAAGGUUCUUUUUACAUUCCAGCAAGAGUCCCAUUCCAGCAUGCCUCGACGAGGAUCCAUAUUAGAUUCUAGGAGUGACAGGUCCACUUCAUCCAAAUCAUUUCAAAAGGAGAUAAAGAAAAAAGAAGAGGAGAUAAAGAAAAAAGAUGAUUUUAUUUUUGAAAUGAAACGGCAGAUGGAUUCCAUGAAAGAAUAUCUUAUGAACAAUCUUGGAUAUCAUGGUGGGACAUCAAAUAUUGAUCAAGGUAUGCCAGCACCCAUGGCCCCAUCAAUGCCGCCGCCUAUGGCUCCCCAGAUAAUGACAUCUAUGGGUCCCACAUCUCCACCAAUUUAUUGACCUGAACCUCAACCACUAUAAACCUGAUUCAUCUUACGUCGAUCCACAAUACCAUGAUUGUAUCUUUUGAUUGUAUCUUUUUAUUGUAUUUUGACUUAUUUGCAUUAAUGCAAGUUUAACUAAAUUUUUAUGCUAUGAAUUUUAUUUUUAUUCCAUUUA